UACGAAGGGGGCUAGCGUUGCUCGGAAUCACUGGGCGUAAAGCGCACGUAGGCGGAUUGUUAAGUCAGGGGUGAAAUCCUGGAGCUCAACUCCAGAACUGCCUUCGAUACUGGCGAUCUUGAGUUCGGGAGAGGUGAGUGGAACUGCGAGUGUAGAGGUGAAAUUCGUAGAUAUUCGCAAGAACACCAGUGGCGAAGGCGGCUCACUGGCCCGAUACUGACGCUGAGGCACGAAAGCGUGGGGAGCAAACAGG
rnacentral:rRNA from 1 species